UUUUCAGUUCACAAAAAUUACAGAUCACACUUGUUUACAUUAUUGAAUUAAUAUACUCCUUAAUCAUCCACGAUCUUUAGAUCAUACAGCAUCAAGACAAAAAUUUUAAUAAAAAAAUGAUUCAAGAAACCUUUGACUUUCUACCAAAAUCAUGAAAUUGAGAUCAAUACAGAGAUACCCAUUUGAGUUUUGGUGUUUAUGAUGGAGAAAAAAGCAAUCUUGGUGUUUUUGGUGCUGACAUUGAGUUUAAUCAAUGGUCAAGAACCAGAAAAGAUUGAUACCCAAAAGGCUCCAUGGAGGAUCCACACUUUGUUUUCUGUAGAGUGUCAGAAUUACUUCGAUUGGCAAACGGUUGGACUUAUGCAUAGUUACAGGAAGGCUCAGCAACCUGGGCCUAUUACAAGAUUGUUGAGCUGUACUGAAGAUGAGAGGAAGGGUUAUAGAGGGAUGGAGUUGGCUCCUACUUUUGAGGUUCCUUCUAUGAGUAGACAUCCUAAAACUAGUGACUGGUAUCCUGCAAUUAACAAACCAGCUGGAGUUGUUCACUGGCUUAAAUACAGCAAAGAGGCAGAAAAUGUUGAUUGGGUUGUCAUAUUGGACGCAGACAUGAUCAUUCGAGGUCCGAUUGUACCAUGGGAGAUUGGGGCAGAGAAAGGAAGGCCUGUUUCUGCGUAUUAUGGGUAUUUAAUUGGAUGCGAUAAUAUUCUUGCAAAGCUGCAUACAAAGCAUCCUGAACUUUGUGACAAGGUUGGUGGGCUAUUAGCCAUGCAUAUAGAUGAUCUUCGAGCUUUGGCACCCCUAUGGCUUUCAAAGACUGAAGAAGUACGGGAAGACAGAGCUCACUGGCCAACCAACUAUACUGGUGAUAUCUACGGAACAGGGUGGAUCAGUGAGAUGUAUGGAUAUUCAUUUGGUGCUGCCGAGGUAGGACUCCGGCAUAAGAUCAACGAUAACUUGAUGAUAUACCCUGGCUAUACUCCACGAGAGGGUGUUGAACCUAUUCUUAUGCAUUAUGGCUUACCUUUUAAUGUUGGAAACUGGUCAUUCAGUAAACUAGACCAUCAUGAAGAUGACAUUGUCUAUGAUUGCAGCCGGCUCUUCCCUGAACCUCCUUAUCCCCGAGAGAUAACACAGAUGGAAUCUGAUCAUCACAAAAGGAGGGCAUUGUUUCUGAAUAUCGAGUGCAUUAAUACCAUGAAUGAGGGCCUUUUAUUACAGCAUGCUGCCUUUAAAUGCCCUAAGCCAAAGUGGUCAAAGUAUCUUAGUUUCCUAAAGAGUAAAACAUUCGCUGAACUAAGUCGGCCAAAACGUUUGACUGCCCAAAGUCGACAGAUGAUGGAGGUUGAAAUUCAUAAAGAAGUUGAUAAUGAGCCUGAAAAGCCACACCCAAAAGUUGAGGUUAAAAUUCAUAAAGAAGUUGAUAAUGAGCCUGAAAAGCCACACCCAAAAAUCCAUACCAUUUUCUCUACAGAAUGCUCGUCUUACUUUGAUUGGCAAACAGUGGGGCUUGUCCACAGUUUUUACAAGAGUGGUCAGCCAGGGAACAUCACAAGGCUUCUAAGCUGUACCGAUGAAGAUUUAAAGCAAUACAAAGGCCAUGAUCUAGCUCCCACCCACUAUGUACCGUCCAUGAGCCGACAUCCAUUAACUGGAGAUUGGUAUCCAGCAAUCAACAAACCGGCUGCAGUUCUUCAUUGGAUGAAUCAUGUGAAAACGGAUGCUGAGUACAUUGUGAUUCUUGAUGCUGACAUGAUCAUGAGAGGACCAAUAACACCAUGGGAAUUCAAUGCAGGCCGCAGCCGACCUGCUUCAACUCCUUAUGACUACCUUAUCGGCUGUGACAACAUACUGGCAAAGCUCCACACUCGCCAUCCUGAAGCUUGUGACAAGGUUGGGGGAGUAAUCAUUAUGCAUGUAGAUGAUCUACGGAAAUUUGCGCUGCAGUGGCUGCACAAAACCAUGGAGGUCCGACUUGAUAGAUCUCAUUGGUCCAAGAACAUAACAGGAGAUAUCUAUGAAUCUGGAUGGAUUAGUGAGAUGUAUGGUUACUCAUUUGGUGCUGCAGAGUUGAAUCUGCGGCAUGUCAUAAGUGACGAGAUUCUGAUAUACCCAGGAUAUGUUCCUAAGCCCGGUGUUAAUUAUAGAGUCUUCCACUAUGGCUUGGAAUAUAGGGUUGGUAACUGGAGUUUUGACAAAGCAAACUGGAGACACGCCGACGUGGUUAACAAAUGUUGGGCUAAGUUUCCUGAUCCUCCUGAUCCAUCAUCACUUGAUCAAACUGACAACAAUUCCCUACAGCGCGACUUGCUUAGCAUAGAAUGUGCAACAACGUUGAAUGAAGCUCUUCGGUUACACCACGAGAGGAGAAAAUGUCCAGAUCCUAACACUAUUUCCACGCCCAAACGUGAAAGAGUAAAUCAGGACAGAGUCGAUGAAACUAGAACCAAUGCUGAAACUAGAACCCGUGCUGAAACUAGAACCGAUGCUGAAACUAGAACCAGUGCUGAAACUAGAACCGAUGCUGAAACUAGAACCAAUGCUGAAACUAGAACCAAUGCUGAAGCUAGAAUGGCUGUUGAAACUACAACUUCAACGAAGUUUGGAAACGUUGACGACAUUCAGGCCUUGAGGCACGAUGAAAUGCCCAAAAAUAGUUCUCAGGAAUCCUCCCAAGUUGAAACGUCAAACGGAACAUUCACUUCCAUGAGAUUUUGGAUCAUGGUUUUGUGGGCAGUGUCAAUCUUCGGCUUCUUAGGUGUCAUGUCCGUCAUGCUUAGAGGGCGUAAGGGAUUGAAAAAAAGAGUUAAAGGUUACAAGUCUAAGAGAAGAACUACAUAUUCCGGUUUCUGGGAUACAAAUGGACAGGACAGACAUCUACGCAACGCUGAAACAGCAUAGAAAGCUCUGUUCUUGGCACAACUUCAAAGUUCUUUGCACAUCAAACAUGGUCAUUCGCGCCAAGGUCCCUGUAAAUUAAUUAUUUAAG